UACAGAGGGGGCUAGCGUUAAUCGGAAUUACUGGGCGUAAAGCGUGCGCAGGCGGUGAUGUAAGACAGAUGUGAAAUCCCCGGGCUUAACCUGGGAAUGGCAUUUGUGACUGGAAGGCUAGAGUGUGUCAGAGGGGGGUAGAAUUCCACGUGUAGCAGUGAAAUGCGUAGAGAUGUGGAGGAAUACCGAUGGCGAAGGCAGCCCCCUGGGAUAACACUGACGCUCAUGCACGAAAGCGUGGGGAGCAAACAGG
rnacentral:rRNA from 1 species